GUGGCUGAGGAGUGGGCCCGGGGCACCUUCAAACUCAACCCCAAUCAUGAGGACAUCCACACAGCCAAGGAGCGCUGCCUGAAGAUGAACCGCCUUUCUAAUUAGUUUUCUGAGUCGACGUCCGACUUAUUGAUUCCCAGUGUUGGGAUCCGAGCAACCCACUGUGGCAGCCUAAAUAGCAGCGGUAAGACUGAUGGUGUUCUUCUGCCUGGGAAUCUCUGGUCUGGCUUCCCUCUUGAGUCUGCAACAAGUGGCUCUGACUUCCCGGAGCUCCAAACUCCGGUCAGUAGGGGAAGCAGUCCCGUUGGCUCUGCAUGAAGAGCUGCUGCGCCCAGACGCCGGCAAAACCGCUGCGGCGGCCACAAGAGUCGCGCUGGCGACCCGUGGGACUCCUCCACUGGGAAUCGGCUGAUCGGUGAGUGACGAAAAUUUGUCUAAAAGUGUGGCGUCGUCUCGUUCUCUGGGCUUUCACUGGGAGCUACAAUCCUGAGCUGUUAGUGGUCGGCCAUCUUGGAUCGAUCCUACUCUGCGUCAUUCUGUUAAUUUCACCAUUGGCAGACAGCAGCCAAGACUGCAGGACAUGGGUCAGGCGCAGUGGCUCAUGCCAAUAAUCCUAGCCUCUGGGAGGCUGAGGUGGGAGGAUUGCUUGAGGCCAGGAGUUCGAGACCAGCCUGGGCAACAUAAUGAGGUUCCAUAACUACAAGAAAUUACAAAAAAAAAUAAAAAGAACAAAAGGCCUCAGCGGAAAUGGCAAGAGAUUUGGGCAGGUCCCAGGACCCUGGGAUAGGGAGGGAGGUUGGCAGGGCUGAUGAAUCCUGCCCUUCUUGGGUUGACCCCUCUGGGCACAUAGACCAUGACCCUGGGCCUCCCUUCACCUCCAGGAGCUCCUUGGCGAAACUGCAGGGCAGCAGCACACGGGUCGUACAGCUGGAAUGACCAGGUGCACGCCCCUCCGGCCCCUGCUCCAUGCUGUCCCAACCUUGGGGAGCCCAGGGGGCAAUUAGAGCUCAGCAGGGUCCUGGCUCCCCAGGGAAGCAGCACGUCUGUCUCGCUGAGCACCUCCUCCUCCUCGCACAGGUGGUCACGGACCUCAGGCUGUGGAUUCGGCAGACCUGCUCCAUGUUCUCGGGCCUCCUCUGGGAGUUCAUCAGGACCUUGGUGGAUGCGGAACAUGACAUCCUCUUCUGGGGGCACACCCACCUGCUGAGGACCCAGCCCACUGGAGACACUGGAUUCUGAGCCAUGCCAUGGUGCUGACCCGAGACUCUGAACGGCUGCUGGAGGUGCGGAAGCAGAUCGAUGUCCUGCCCUUGGGAGGUGGGUGAGGCUCCAGUACCCUGAGGGCCUGGUUGGGGUGGCUGCUGCAUAGCCUUAGGGAUUGACAGACAAGCUGGGAAGGGCAGAGUGGGACAGAAAGCCGAGUUAUUCGCUCAGAGGGGGACCCUGCAUGUAGCCCCUGCUCUCACUAAGAUGGGGACGAUUAAGCUGGUGAAUGUGUCUGAGCAGGGCCAGAGCUCUCCAGAGAGGCUCCUGGCGAGCCCAGCCCACUGCCCUCAGCCUGAUACAUGGGGAUGUGUGUUAGGAGACAAGUGUCCUGCACCCAAGGCGACUCAGUGCUUGAAGAUAAGUGUUCUGGGGACACUUGGGGACAAGUGUUGUGCACCUGUGGCAACUGAGCCAGGGAAGGGGCUGAGUUUCAGGAUGUUGCCCUGGAAAUCAGGACUUGGUUCUGUGUAUCUGUGUGUGUGUGUGUGUGUGUGUAUGUAUGUGUGUGUCAGGGAUGCCUGCUAGGAGCCCUGGUCAUCACGAAUCCCUGUCCCUGCAGUGGUGCCAUUGCGGGCAAUCCCCUGGGUGUGGACCAAG
ensembl:lncRNA